GAUGAAGAACGUAGCGAAAUGCGAUACGUAAUGUGAAUUGCAGAAUUCAGUGAAUCAUCGAAUCUUUGAACGCACAUUGCGCCCGCCAGUAUUCUGGCGGGCAUGCCUGUCCGAGCGUCAUUUCAACCCUCGAACCCCUCCGGGGGGUCGGCGUUGGGGAUCGGCACUUACCUGCCGGCCCCGAAAUACAGUGGCGGUCUCGCCGCAGCCUCUCCUGCGCAGUAGUUUGCACACUCGCACCGGGAGCGCGGCGCGUCCACGGCCGUAAAACAACCCAAACUUCUGAAAUGUCGACCUCGGAUCAGGUAGGAAUACCCGCUGAACUUAAGCAUAUCAAUAAGCGGAGGA
rnacentral:misc_RNA from 1 species